GAUGAACGCUGGCGGCGUGCCUAAUACAUGCAAGUCGAGCGAACAGACGAGGAGCUUGCUCCUCUGACGUUAGCGGCGGACGGGUGAGUAACACGUGGAUAACCUACCUAUAAGACUGGGAUAACUUUGGGAAACCGGAGCUAACACCGGAUAAUAUAUUGAACCGCAUGGUUCAAUAGUGAAUGACGGUUUUGCUGUCACUUAUAGAUGGAUCCGCGCCGCAUUAGCUAGUUGGUGAGGUAACGGCUUACCAAGGCAACGAUGCGUAGCCGACCUGAGAGGGUGAUCAACCACACGGGAACUGAGAAUGGGGCCGGUCUCCUAAGGGGGGUAGACACACGGAAUCUUCCGCAAUAGGGGUAAGACUGACUGUACAACGCCCCGUAAGUGAUGAGGGUCUUCGUAUCUGAAAUCUCUGUUAUUGGGGUAGAACAAAUGUGUAAGAAACUAUACACGUCUUGACGGUACCUAAACAGGUAGCCUCGGCUGACUACGUA
rnacentral:rRNA from 1 species